rnacentral:rRNA from 1 species
UUACAGGUUAAGUUAUUAAGGGCGCAUGGCGGAUGCCUUGGCACUAGAAGCCGAUGAAGGACGGCACUAACACCGAUAUGCUUUGGGGAGCUGUAAGUAAGCUUUGAUCCAGAGAUUUCCGAAUGGGGGAACCCACUAUCUUUAAUCAGAUAGUAUCUUUACGUGAAUUCAUAGCGUAUUGAAGACAGACGCAGGGAACUGAAACAUCUAAGUACCUGCAGGAACAGAAAGAAAAUUCGAUUCCCUGAGUAGCGGCGAGCGAAACGGGAAGAGCCCAAACCAAGGAGCUUGCUCCGUUGGGUUGUAGGACACUCUAUACGGAGUUACAAAG